UCUCCGCGCAUUUUGGUGACUUGUCCAAGAGCUCAAGGCAGCCUCUACAAAGACGAGAAAAUCUGGAAAUCCACCAGAGUUGGUUGAGAGUCAUUAGACUUCUUGACUUUGGCAAUAUUGGCCUUGGAGAGGUUGCUAACUCCUCUUAUAUCCUAAUAGAUUGGGGACAAUUUGCAGAGUCAUAGCAUUUUCUUUGCUGGAGGAACUCAGGCAACAUCUAUGGAAAAGAGUAAACGGUUGAUGUUUUGGGUCAAGACCCUUCAUCAGGACUAGUAAAGAGGAUGAGAAUUUAGAGCAAGAAAGUGGAGGGAAGGGGAGGAAGAAGUACAAGGUGGUAGGUGAUAGGUGAAACCAGGAGAGGGGGUGGGAUGAAGUAAAGAGCUGGGAAGUUGAUUGGUGAACGAAGUAAAGGACUAGAGAAGGGGAAAUCUGAUAGGAGAGGGUAGAAGAAGAUGGAAGAAAGGGGAGAAGCACAAAAGGGAGGUGACGGGCAGGUAGGUGAUAAGUUCCUCCAGCAUUUUGUGUGUGUUGGUUGGAUAAAUCCCAUCAUCCAAUACAAGACUUGCUGAGCUCUGCAAGGGCAAGAGAAAGACAGAGAAAACACUUCAAAGUCAUCAUCAGGAUUCCUUGCUAAACAUGUAAUUUUCUCACCAGUGUGGAAUCUCCUGCACAUAAUUGCAUAAAAUGAAGGAUGAAGACCAAGGAAGGAAAUGAGCGCCUCAAGAUUUACAAUGAAGUGCUCAGAGGCCAAAUGCAAACAGCAGAAGUAGCAUUCUUCUCAAACUACCUACCUGUCCCCUCCAGCUCCACCUAUGGCAGAGUCUUCAGAUCCCUCCUAACACUCCACAGCUACUUCAAAACCCAGAGAACUGCCUAGAAAGAACUGUCAAAGCAAAUUCAUAGAUGAACGCAAAAUUGCUAGCUAGUGUAACGUUCAGUGCUCAUCCCUAACUAAGCUGGAUUUUGCUGGUAGACGGGGAUUUCUAAGGCUGUUUCCAGAGAUGGAGAGGGACUCUUGGUGAUGUGUUGUAUUUCACCUUCAUGAUACAGUCACUUUGCCAGUGAAACAGGGAGGGAAUCUUCAUGGUGAUGGGUUCCCAGUCAAAUGGCCAGCAUUGUCAUGGACACUGUCAAACAGUCCGAUUAUUAGUGGAGCUACGCUGAGUCAUGCAACAACAACAGACAAAAUUAAAGUCACAGACGGCCAGGAAAUGUGAGUUUUGGUUUAUCAGUUAACCUACAUUUCGAGCAGCCGGUUGCUAUAUGAUGACUCUGGAACCCUUGAUUGAACAUGCAAAUAUUUUAAGAGUCUGGAUUAUCUUUGUAUUAUCAAAACCUUUUCUGCCUUUCUCCGAGUGAGGGUCCAAAUCCACCAGGGUUUGAGAACACUAGCCUUGCCCAUCAUGUUGGAUGUCAGACCCACUUCUUUAACAGCUGAUAAAUAUGUGCGGAACCAAAUUUCUACAUCUUAAAUUUCUACCGAUGAGUAAUUGUAAGAGCUGUUAACUCUCUAGUAACAACUGUGCUGUGUGGAAGUAAUUAUUUCUGCUUUAUUACAGUUUUGGUUUUCUUACACAGAUCAAUGUUCUGAUUGUCUUUUUCUUAGGGUAUUAGAAAAUUGAUUUUUAUUGCUGGUCCCUAGGUGACUACAAAGCUCUUGUUUGCACAACUGUUGUUCAGCAAACAUUAAGUCUAGUGGCAGAUUAUUUUCCUUGGAAAUCCUUAGUGAACUAUUACAGGUUAGUUUUCAAGAACAUUUAUUCAGAUAGUAACUCCUAAAUUUCCAAAUUUAUUGAAUGUGUUAAUUCAUUUUUUACGUAGUGGGAUUUGAAUUAAAAAUCUCCACGCUAUUGAAUAUACAAUAACCACUACAUUGCUGAAAUUAUAGGGAAAGUUUAUAUGAUUGUAACACAAUCUCCCAUGACCAAACCAUGCACAACUGAUCUUGUCAAAACCAAAUCUGAACAACUAUUCUUAAACCACUGAACAGGAAAAUACUGCUCUUAAUACUUGAAUCGUAAUGUGAGAUAUUGCAUGGAGUAGGUCCUUUGAGAUGUGCCACACAACAACCCAACAAUUGUCCCAGCCUAAUCACAGGACAAUUCACAGUGACCAAUUCACCUCCAACCAGUAUGUCUUUGGACUGUGGGAGGAAACCAGAGCACCUGGAGGAAACCCACGUGGUCAUGGGGAGAACAUAGAUACUCUGGUGGGAAGUUCUACACUGGUCUCAACUCAGGCUUCUGGAAGGAAACUUGAAUCCACAAUAUUCUACCUCAAAGCUCUUUCCAGAAGUACAGAAUGUGAUGUUAGAACCGGAUCAGUCACUAACACUUAAGAAGCAAGUGGAGCCACUGGAUGGAAAUUUAUCGCAAACUCAAUCUGAAGAAUAAAGUACAUGAGCAAUUGUCAUCACCUCUCGAUAUCUGAAUACUAAAUAUAAUUACUGGGACCUGCACCACAUUAAAAAAAAGUGAGGUGAUUUUUAAAACAAGCACGAGUUUCUCCUCUUCAGCUGGCAAGAUCCUCAAGGAAUUUUGCACUUUCCACCUCCACAAUAUCCAAGUAUGAAUGGUAAAGGACCCCACGCACCCCUCAUACAAUCUCUUCUCCCUCCUGCCGUCUGAGAAAAGGCUCCGAAGCAUUCGGGCUCUCACGGCCAGACCAUGUAACAGUUUCUUCUCCCAAGCUAUCAGACUUCUCAAUACUCAAAGCCUGGACUGACACCUUGCCCUAUUGUCCUGUUUAUUAUUUAUUGUAAUGUCUGCACUGUUUUUGUGCACUUUAUGCAGUACUGUGUAAGUCUAUAGUGUAGCUUUCUCUGUGUUUUUUUUUUGUGUACUUCAGUCUAGUUUUUGUAUUGUGUCUUGUAACACCAUGGUCCUGAAAAAUGUUGUCUCAUUUUUACUAUGUACUGUACCAGCAGUUAUGGUCGAAAUGACAAUAAAAGUGACUUGACUUGAAACAGGAAACAGAAAA